GAUGAACGCUAGCGGCAGGCUUAACACAUGCAAGUCGAGGGGUAGAGGAAGCUUGUUUCCUUGAGACCGGCGCACGGGUGCGUAACGCGUAUGCAACCUACCUUUUACAGAGGGAUAGCCCAGAGAAAUUUGGAUUAAUACCUCAUAGUAUAUAGUCUUCGCAUGUUGACUAUAUUAAAGUUCCAACGGUAAAAGAUGGGCAUGCGUCCUAUUAGCUAGAUGGUAAGGUAACGGCUUACCAUGGCAACGAUAGGUAGGGGUCCUGAGAGGGAGAUCCCCCACACUGGUACUGAGACACGGACCAGACUCCUACGGGAGGCAGCAGUGAGGAAUAUUGGACAAUGGGCGCAAGCCUGAUCCAGCCAUGCCGCGUGCAGGAAGAUGCAUCUAUGGUGUGUAAACUGCUUUUGUACAGGAAGAAACACCCCGACGUGUCGGGACUUGACGGUACUGUAAGAACAAGGAUCGGCUAACUCCGUGCCAGCCGCCGCCGUAACAC
rnacentral:rRNA from 1 species